UUAUUUUGUCGUUUGCAUGAAAACUGAAACCUGAAAAGAUGACUUAAAGAUACAUGAACAGGCAGAAACCGCAAGCCAACAUGACUUAAAGAGAAUUUCUUCGAAGUAAAUUUUCCCACGGUUUGUUUGUGUAGGAGAAAAUCUAGGUCCCUCGUUAUCUCGUGUUUAGAAUUGUCAACUGUCGUGCGAACCUCUAAAGAUUCAAGAAAAUCAAAGACAAUUUCAGAUUUUUCUUCACCUGGGAUGUGGCUAAUUUCUUUCGGCACCCAUACCUUCUGUAUCAUUUAAAAUGUCUUAAUAAGCUUAAUUAGCCCCCAUGAAAUGCUUCACAGCUGAAGGCACAGCGAGUGUGCCUUUUAUUUUACUACAUCGACUUUCACAUGGAGAUUAUAAGCCGUAGUUAAAUUGUAAGAUAAGAAUGAAAUUAUGGAUACGUCAAAGUGCCAAGUUGAAUUAAUAAAAAAAUAGGAAAACGACGGUUGUGUGUGUCUAUCCUACAUUAUAAGGAAACAGUUAAGUUUCCAACAAGAGACAUGAUAGCCUUUUAUUUUAUUAUCCUAAAAAAAUUGGCUCAAAUAUUUUAUAAUAAAUAUUAAUAUAAUAUAAAUAUUUUAAAUAAUUUUAAUAAUUAAAAAAUACUAUAAUAUCUGCUGUACCGUACAUCCGCCUCCCACUUGUGAUUGCCCCGAUCAUGGCACCAAAGGUUAAUAUGGAGCCAAACACAGAAUACUGCAUGAGUGUAAACCAAAACCAAAAUGAAAAAAUUUCAUAUUUACCAACUGAAUGGAAUUAGUCUCUGCAGGAAUCAUAAUAACAUUUCUGCACAUCUGCUUCAGCUUAAUAUAACUUGUAUUCAACAAGACAUGCUCUGUCGCUAAAACAUCCUUGUCAAGACACUAAACUCAUGAUUCUUUACUUCUUAGUAAAUAAACGUACACUAAAAAAGUGAUUAAUUUGGAACUAAUUAGAAGAAUGCCCAUUCAUCAGCAUACCUCUGCGAGGGACAGAGCGAUAUCUUCCCUGAUAGCACUCUGAGUAGGAGAUGAAUAUCCAGCCUGCAAAACCAAAUUGACAAUUCCACAACCUAAGCCUUCCAAGCAUUCAACAGAAAAAAAAGUGAAAAUCAUUGUUUCAGAAUUUGGUUUCAGGAAAUGGACUUACACACGAUCCGAAAGCAUAAGAACCGCAAACUGCAAUGGGUGUGCUGAAGUAAACCAUGCACGGAUUUACUUUCUUGUUGUUUGUUCGGUCACCAGCUCCACCAUCUUCAUGAGCUAAGAUGUUCUCAAUCGGCAUAAGUGGUUCCCUUAUAUUUUCUUGAACAUCCUCUUUGACGUCCAUGAUGAUGCUGAUACCUUCCAAAAAGUUGCCUUAGUUUAUCUAAUAGAAGAAAUUGAAAGAAAUUGUUACAAGAUAAAGGAGAUACGCGAAGAUGGAAGCAGAAGCAAACUAUAUCAUCUAUCAAUUAGCCACAAGAGGCUGGAAUUUCUUGAGUCUUCCCUCAAUACUCCUUCGUGAGUUUUAUGAAAGUACUAACACUGAGGACAAGUAGGCAAUUUGUUUUUUCACACAACUGGAUAAUGAAUCUGAAUCAACGACCAUAUGUACACGUUCUACUCGAAGUAAUAUGUACGCUACUAAACUCAACUGGUGUUAUUUUGUCGUUUGCAUGAAAACUGAAACCUGAAAAGAUGACUUAAAGAUACAUGAACAGGCAGAAACCGCAAGCCAACAUGACUUAAAGAGAAUUUCUUCGAAGUAAAUUUUCCCACGGUUUGUUUGUGUAGGAGAAAAUCUAGGUCCCUCGUUAUCUCGUGUUUAGAAUUGUCAACUGUCGUGCGAACCUCUAAAGAUUCAAGAAAAUCAAAGACAAUUUCAGAUUUUUCUUCACCUGGGAUGUGGCUAAUUUCUUUCGGCACCCAUACCUUCUGUAUCAUUUAAAAUGUCUUAAUAAGCUUAAUUAGCCCCCAUGAAAUGCUUCACAGCUGAAGGCACAGCGAGUGUGCCUUUUAUUUUACUACAUCGACUUUCACAUGGAGAUUAUAAGCCGUAGUUAAAUUGUAAGAUAAGAAUGAAAUUAUGGAUACGUCAAAGUGCCAAGUUGAAUUAAUAAAAAAAUAGGAAAACGACGGUUGUG
rnacentral:lncRNA from 1 species